rnacentral:rRNA from 1 species
GACAGAGGGUGCAAACGUUGUUCGGAAUUACUGGGCGUAAAGCGAGUGUAGGCGGUUUGGAUGAAGUCGGAUGAUGAACCGGCCCGGACCGUAAGCCGGGAAGUGCACUCGAUACUGUCAGCUAGAGUAUCGGAGAGGUUGGUGGAAUUCUCGGUGUAGAGGUGAAAUUCGUAGAUAUCGAGAGGAACACCGGUGGCGAAGGCGGCCAACUGGACGAAUACUGACGCUGAGACUCGAAAGCGUGGGGAGCAAACAGG